rnacentral:ncRNA from 1 species
CCUCGUGCACGACCAGCAGUUGCCUACCCUGACGUGCGUGACUGGUAACGGUCGGGUUCGAAGCUCGGGGGACAACCUACCCGCCUACGCACGCUGUGGGCAUCAGGCAGAGGUACAG